rnacentral:rRNA from 1 species
GACGAACGCUGGCGGCGUGCUUAACACAUGCAAGUCGAACGAGAAGAGAUGAGAAGCUUGCUUCUUAUUGAUUCGAGUGGCAAACGGGUGAGUAACGCGUAAGCAACCUGCCCUUCAGAUGGGGACAACAGCUGGAAACGGCUGCUAAUACCGAAUACGUUCUUUUUGUCGCAUGGCAGAGGGAAGAAAGGGAGGCUCUUCGGAGCUUUCGCUGAAGGAUGGGGAUGCGUCUGAUUAGCUUGUUGGCGGGGUAACGGCCCACCAAGGCGACGAUCAGUAGGGGUUCUGAGAGGAAGGUCCCCCACAUUGGAACUGAGACACGGUCCAAACUCCUACGGGAGGCAGCAGUGAGGAAUAUUGGGCAAUGGGGGAAACCCUGACCCAGCAACGCCGCGUGAAGGAAGAAGGCUUUCGGGUUGUAAACUUCUUUUACCAGGGACGAAGGACGUGACGGUACCUGGAGAAAAAGCCACGGCUAACUACGUG